GCGGGUGUAGUUUAAUGGUAAAACUCCAGCCUUCCAAGCUGGUUACGGGGGUUCGAUUCCCCCUACCCGCUUCA
rnacentral:tRNA from 2 species